ensembl:lncRNA
ACUGUAGCUGAUAACCUGAUAUCAACCUGAUACCGUAGUCAUGCUGAGGCCAUUCAUUGUCUUUAUCUUCUGUGGUGAUGUAUGAGACUAUAAAUGACUGUUAUCAAGCUGAUCAGAGUGAAGAGACUGUACAUGUAGGUUCAUUAUCAUUUCAACACAUACUCAAACCACCCACAGGUCGUAUUGGAUGGACCCACAGGUCAUAUUGAAUGGGCCCACAGGUCGUAUUGGAUGGACCCACAGGUCGUAUUGGAUGGACCCACAGGUCAUAUUGAAUGGACCCACAGGUCGUAUUGAAUGGACCCACAGGUUGUAAUGCCCACAGGUUAUAUUGAAUGGGCACACAGGUUGUAAUGAAUGGGCACACAGGUUGUAAUGAAUGGGCCCACAGGUCGUAUUGAAUGGGCCCACAGGUUGUAAUGAAUGGGCCCACAGGUCGUAUUGAAUGGGCCCACAGGUUGUAAUGAAUGGACCCACAGGUUGUAUUGAAUGGGCCCACAGGUUGUAAUGAAUGGACCCACAGGUCGUAUUGAAUGGGCCCACAGGUUGUAAU